UUCUUAAACAGAAGAUGGCAGAACCUGAAGACCUCUUCUGCCAGAAGGCAGCAGAAAAAAAAAAAAACAAGGGCUGUGGAGGAUUAGUAGCACCUGUGAUCACAUCAAGCCUAUGGAAAUAAUGGAGGCCAUGCUUGCCUAGCUGACUACCAGCCACACAUCCCAGCUUGCUGAGUGGCAGCCCACAGAUCCUGCCAAGAGAAAAGAUCCCAUUUCUCCUCCUCUCCUCAGUGCAGCGUUCAUCCCCAGCUCACUGAAAAGCAUCCUGUUGCACCUCAGUGUGGAAAUCAUCUUUGGUUGGUUCAGGUUUCACCUGCAUCAAGUUUUUUACUGGGAAGCAGCAAGUCUCAAGAUCCAGCUCCAAUGUCACUUGUCACUUGCUCAUUAUUCUGACAUCAUCUGUAAUACACGGUUUUGUGCAGGGGCAAAUGCAACCCUGACCUGAAUGAAAGGCUGAGCAUCUGUGCAACCAGAACACAUGACAUCCAGAAGCAUUUUCCAUGCCAGUCAGUGCUAAUGGAGUGAGGAAAUGAAGGAA
rnacentral:lncRNA from 1 species